rnacentral:rRNA from 1 species
GACGGAGGAUGCAAGCGUUAUCCGGAAUUAUUGGGCGUAAAGCGUCCGCAGGUGGCAUUUCAAGUCUGCUGUCAAAGCGCAGAGCUUAACUCUGUAACGGCGGUGGAAACUGGAAAGCUAGAGUAUGGUAGGGGUAGAGGGAAUUCCCGGUGUAGCGGUGAAAUGCGUAGAUAUCGGGAAGAACACCAGUGGCGAAAGCGCUCUACUGGGCCAAGACUGACACUGAGGGACGAAAGCGUGGGGAGCAAACAGG